rnacentral:misc_RNA from 1 species
AGCAUCUGCUGGAUCCAUUUCCUCAGAUUCCCCGGUAAGACGGUUUCGCAGUUCCACCUUGCCGUUGGCCCAGCCGCGGCCAAUAACAAGUAUGUGCGGCAUACCGAGUAGCUCGGAGUCUUUAAACUUCACUCCUGGUGAGGCUUUUCGAUCAUCGAGGAGUACUUCCAAUCCGGCAUCGGAUAGCUGUUCUGCCAUGUCAG